rnacentral:rRNA from 1 species
UACGUAGGGACCAAGCGUUGUUCGGAUUUACUGGGCGUAAAGGGCGCGUAGGCGGCUUGACAAGUCACUUGUGAAAUCUCCGGGCUUAACUCGGAACGGCCAAGUGAUACUGCAGUGCUAGAGUGUGGAAGGGGCAAUCGGAAUUCUUGGUGUAGCGGUGAAAUGCGUAGAUAUCAAGAGGAACACCUGAGGUGAAGACGGGUUGCUGGGCCAACACUGACGCUGAUGCGCGAAAGCCAGGGGAGCAAACGGG